rnacentral:rRNA from 1 species
AACAAACGCUGGCGGCGUGCAUAACACAUGCAAGUCUAACGGGAAAGUCGGCUUCGGCUGGCAAGUACCGUGGCGAACGGGUGAGUAACACGUGGGUAAUCAAACAUCGAGUUUGGGAUAACCUUGCGAAAGCGGGGCUAAUACCGAAUAAGACCACGCCUUGUUAGCAAGGUGGGGUAAAAGGUGGCCUCUUCUUGAAAGCUAUCACUUGAGGAUGAGCCCGCGGCCUAUUAGCUAGUUGGUGGGGUAAUGGCCCACCAAGGCGACGAUGGGUAGCCGGCCUGAGAGGGUGUACGGCCACACUGGCACUGAGAUACGGGCCAGACUCCUACGGGAGGCAGCAGUGGGGAAUUUUGCGCAAUGGGGGAAACCCUGACGCAGCAACGCCGCGUGAGUGAUGAAGGCCUUCGGGUCGUAAAGCUCUUUUAGUGGGGAAGAAACCGCUUUGGCUAAUAUCCAAAGUGAAUGACGGUACCCACAGAAAAAGUUCCGGCUAACUACGUGCCAGCCGCCGCAGUAAGAC